rnacentral:tRNA from 1 species
AUAAAAAGAUAAGCUAAGAAAGCUUUUAGGUUCAUACCCUAAAUAUAGAAGUCAAUUCUUCUUCUUUUUA